UUAAAUGAAUGCGAGAGAGGCUUUCCAAUA
rnacentral:piRNA from 1 species